UACAGAGACUGCAAGCGUUCUUCGGAUUCACUGGGCGUAAAGGGUGCGCAGGCGGUUGGGUGUGUCAGAUGUGAAAUCCCGAGGCUUAACCUCGGAACUGCGUCUGAAACUACUCGACUAGAGUACUGGAGAGGGAAACGGAAUUCACGGUGUAGCAGUGAAAUGCGUAGAUAUCGUGAGGAACACCAGAGGCGAAGGCGGUUUCCUGGCCUGUAACUGACGCUGAGACGCGAAAGCGUGGGGAGCGAACCGG
rnacentral:rRNA from 1 species